rnacentral:lncRNA from 1 species
AUCGUUUUCAUGUCAAUCCCAAUAUCUUAACGGGUUGUGUCGUGUAACACCCGUUAAAGUAAACGGGUAAUAUGACCCGACCCAAAAUUGACCUGUUAAUAUUGUCAGGUAAUAUGACUCGACUCGUUACCCAUUAAAGAAAAUAUAUUUUAAAUCAAUAAAUAAUGAAAAUGAAAAACAUAACUUGAUCCACAAAAAAUAAAAAAACAUAAUACUAAAUUGGUAUAAGCAUACCACACUGUCACAAAAAUAUUAUUACAAAACAUAAAUUAAAAAUUAAAAAAAAAUACCUUUCAAGUAUUACAUACUCCAAAAUAAGAGCGUAAUGAAAAACAUUAGUACAUUACUAAAAAAUACCAAAUGUUCAAGCAUAUGUAAAAUGAAGGGAGUUGUGUUCCAAGGUUGAGGAACCUUGCACGUUUAUAUAUGUUUUCACAUUUUUUAGACUUGUACAUUAAUGAUUAUGAAUUUUAUUUAUUAUGAACUCCCUUAAAAAUACUAUUCAUGAGAAUUUAUAUGGUUUUAAAAAUUCAAAUGAUGAUGUACCCAUACUCAUAGCAUAGAGGAUGCGAUCACGAGCCUUUACAUAUUUUUCACAUUUUUUUGCAUUUGUAAAUUAAUUAUUAUAUUUUUUUAAUGUGUUUGGUAUUCUAAAAUUACUUGAUACUUUUAUUUUUAAUAUGUUUUAUAUUUUUUUUAAUCUCACUCUUUGCCUAUAGUAUACUAUAAAUGACACAUCCCGACCCGAA